GACACCCUGUCAUUUCCCUUCCCUCCGGCUCUGCUGCCACCCACAAAUCAAUAACAUAGCCCGAGAAGUUCAAGCUGGUUUUGCAGCCACCACAAGUGCUGUGUUUCUUAAAGAGUAUGUCAGAAAAUGUAAAGUUUCCUAAUGAUAUUUCUGGCUGAUGACACAUGGCAGAGCUGAUGGACUAUUUAUAAUCAGUGGCACGAUCGACAGAGUUUAGGGUAUGGAUUUGUUAACUAUAUUGAUCCAAAGGAUGCAGAGAAAGCCAUCAACACUUUAAAUGGACUCAGACUCCAGACCAAAACCAUAAAGGUGUCGUACGCCCGUCCGAGCUCGUGGGAGACAGAGUGUUGCAAGUUUCCUUUAAAACCAACAAAGCCCACAAGUCCUGAAUUUCUCACCCUUACUUAUUAAAAAAUAUAUAUAAAUAUAUACGAACAAAACAUGCGCGCACACACAUACACAAAAGAGAGAGACAAACUUUCCAAGGCUUAUAUUCAACCAUGGACUUUAUAAGCCCGCGUUGCCUAAGUAUUAAAACAUUGGAUUAUCCUGAGGUGUACCAGGAAAGGAUUUUAUAAUGCUUAG
rnacentral:lncRNA from 1 species